CUGGUCUCAAAGAACCAAUUCUGUGAUGGUUUUGUCCAUUUAGACGGAAACAAUAAGGCCCACCUCCAUUAUUAUUCCAGAGAAAGGUGGGAGGAUGCGUGAGGAGAGGAAAUUUGACAGAGCCUUUUCGACAGCAUAAUGAGAAAGCUGGAUUUUCAGACCUAGAAGUACACAACAAAUAGCAAUGUUAUACAACAAAUGACAAUAUCAAUGUCAACAGCAUAUGAGGCAAGGAAACAGGUACAAUUAUUUGACAUGAAAAUAAUGUUGUACAUUAUCUUCCAUUUGCACGUGAGAAUCGUCGAAUGAUGAAUCAUAUGAUAUUUGUUCCAUCCUUGUACGCUUGAUAAUAACCGGG